GACGAACGCUGGCGGCGUGCUUAACACAUGCAAGUCGAACGGAAAGGCCCCUUUGGGGGUACUCGAGUGGCGAACGGGUGAGUAACCCGUGAUUAACCUGCCCUUGACUUCGGGAUAACUUCAGGAAACUGGGGUUAUUCCCGGUUAGGAAUCCUUGCUCCCUGUUGGGGGUUGGCAAGCUUCGGCGGUUUUGGAUGGACUCGCGGCUUAUCAGCUUGUUGGUGGGGUAGUGGCUUACAAAGGCUUUGCCGGGUAGCCGGCCUGAGAGGGCGACCGGCCACAUUGGGACUGGGAUACGGCCCAGACUCCUACGGGAGGCAGAAGUGGGGAAUAUUGAACAAUGGGCGGAAGCCUGAUGCAGCAACGCCGCGUGCGGGAUGACGGCCUUCGGGUUGUAAACCGAUUUCAGCAGGGGCGAAGCUUGUGGUGACGGUACCUGCAGAAGAAGCACCGGCUAACUCCGUG
rnacentral:rRNA from 1 species